rnacentral:rRNA from 1 species
UCAGGCUUAACACAUGCAAGUCGAGGGGCAGCAUGGUCUUAUCUUGCUAAGACUGAUGGCGACCGGCGCACGGGUGAGUAACACGUAUCCAACCUGCCGUCUACUCUUGGACAGCCUUCUGAAAGGAAGAUUAAUACAAGAUGGCAUCAUGAGUCCGCAUGUUCACAUGAUUAAAGGUAUUCCGGUAGACGAUGGGGAUGCGUUCCAUUAGAUAGUAGGCGGGGUAACGGCCCACCUAGUCUUCGAUGGAUAGGGGUUCUGAGAGGAAGGUCCCCCACAUUGGAACUGAGACACGGUCCAAACUCCUACGGGAGGCAGCAGUGAGGAAUAUUGGUCAAUGGGCGAGAGCCUGAACCAGCCAAGUAGCGUGAAGGAUGACUGCCCUAUGGGUUGUAAACUUCUUUUAUAAAGGAAUAAAGUCGGGUAUGCAUACCCGUUUGCAUGUACUUUAUGAAUAAGGAUCGGCUAACUCCGUGCCAGCAGCCGCGGUAAUACGGAGGAUCCGAGCGUUAUCCGGAUUUAUUGGGUUUAAAGGGAGCGUAGAUGGAUGUUUAAGUCAGUUGUGAAAGUUUGCGGCUCAACCGUAAAAUUGCAGUUGAUACUGGAUAUCUUGAGUGCAGUUGAGGCAGGCGGAAUUCGUGGUGUAGCGGUGAAAUGCUUAGAUAUCACGAAGAACUCCGAUUGCGAAGGCAGCCUGCUAAGCUGCAACUGACAUUGAGGCUCGAAAGUGUGGGUAUCAAACAGGAUUAGAUACCCUGGUAGUCCACACGGUAAACGAUGAAUACUCGCUGUUUGCGAUAUACUGCAAGCGGCCAAGCGAAAGCGUUAAGUAUUCCACCUGGGGAGUACGCCGGCAACGGUGAAACUCAAAGGAAUUGACGGGGGCCCGCACAAGCGGAGGAACAUGUGGUUUAAUUCGAUGAUACGCGAGGAACCUUACCCGGGCUUAAAUUGCAGAUGAAUUACGGUGAAAGCCGUAAGCCGCAAGGUAUCUGUGAAGGUGCUGCAUGGUUGUCGUCAGCUCGUGCCGUGAGGUGUCGGCUUAAGUGCCAUAACGAGCGCAACCCUUGUUGUCAGUUACUAACAGGUUCCGCUGAGGACUCUGACAAGACUGCCAUCGUAAGAUGUGAGGAAGGUGGGGAUGACGUCAAAUCAGCACGGCCCUUACGUCCGGGGCUACACACGUGUUACAAUGGGGGGUACAGAGGGCCGCUACCACGCGAGUGGAUGCCAAUCCCCAAAACCUCUCUCAGUUCGGACUGGAGUCUGCAACCCGACUCCACGAAGCUGGAUUCGCUAGUAAUCGCGCAUCAGCCACGGCGCGGUGAAUACGUUCCCGGGCCUUGUACACACCGCCCGUCAAGCCAUGGGAGCCGGGGGUACCUGAAGUGCGUAACCGCGAGGAGCGCCCUAGGGUAAAACUGGUGACUG